GGAUUAACUGCAGUAAAGGAAAAAGCAGAAGCCACUCUAAGAAUUCAUAAUGCGAGUUCAACAUCUUCAGAAGGCACACAACCUGCCACAACUGAGAGCAAAACACCAGGGAUCAAUUCCAGCGAUGCCCCAGACCAGAGCUCCAUUGGGGUUUCACCCUCUUCUCCUUCAUCUGGAUCUCUUGGGAUGCUGUCAGCAAUCACUAAUGCUGUACAGAACACAG